rnacentral:sRNA from 1 species
AUUUUAACCUUCAUGGACAUGUUAGUGUGAAAAGGAGAGAAUGAGAAUAGAAACGUUUGUUGAUACUGACAAUACUAGUAGUGUUUUACUCUUUUAGGCUACAGCAAAUCCAAAUAUUUACUUAACUCUGGUUUCUUAAAAAAAAUAGUUGUGGUCAGAAAUGAGAAGACAUGAAAUGUUGAGGGAAGAGCUGCGACAGAGAAGAAAGCAGCUUGAAGCUCUGAUGGCUGAACAUCAGAGGAGGCAAGGUCUGGCUGAAACUGCAUCUCCAGUGGCUGUGUCAUUGAGAAGUGAUGGAUCUGAGAACCUAUGUACUCCUCAGCAAAGUAGAACAGAAAAAACGAUGGCAACUUGGGGAGGGUCUACCCAGUGUGCACUAGAUGAAGAAGGAGAUGAAGACGGUUACCUUUCUGAAGGAAUUGUUCGGACAGAUGAAGAGGAGGAAGAAGAGCAAGAUGCCAGUUCCAAUGAUAACUUUUCUGUGUAUCCUUCUAACAGUGUGAAUCAUAACUCCUACAAUGGAAAGGAAACUAAAAAUAGGUGGAAGAACAAUUGCCCUUUUUCGGCAGAUGAAAAU